GCCUCUGUGGCGGAACUGGAAUACGCGCGCGGCUUAGAACCGCGUGGGGAAACCCUUACAGGUUCAAAUCCUGUCAGAGGCA
rnacentral:tRNA from 1 species